GUCAGGGCACCGAAGCAGGAGGGGAGGGACUCAAGCACGGCCUGUGCUCCAGAAUCCUGCCUGCUGGAAGCCUUCCCCGCCCGAGGCUGAGCAGACUUGUCAGAUGGGAAAGCCGAGGCCCGAGGACGCACAGUGAGGCCGGGCGGUGCGGGGAGGCUGCAAGCCAAGCGAAGGGCCUUAAACCAGGGCUUCGGUUUGAUCUCAGGUAGGGAUCUGGGUUCCAGAAGCCUCCAAGAGCUGCAGUUACAGGUCAGUGUCAGGUCGGCGAGCAUCCUGGGGACACUGCUGUGUCUUCCUGCACCUGCCCUGCCUGGAGCUCAGGUGUCUGGGUCUCCACAGCAGCCUGGGCGGCUGGGAUGGAAGUGGCGCAAGCCACACUCCACAAAGGGCUCCUGGGGAGCUGAGUGGCACCAGCUCUGCUGGGUCUCCAGGGAGAGGGACGGGGCCCCAAAGAUCCAUGAAGGUAGGAGCCAUCCCCAGGCAUCCUGCGGCAAAGGCCAGGGACCCUGACUUUCCUCAGCCCCAGCCCUGCUGCUGCAGCCCAUCAAUCCCCACCCAGCCCCGACCCCUACGUCCCCUCGUCAGACAGUAGUGCCACUCCCUGGGCAUCGUGUCCCCAGCCACACUCUCCCUGAGUGUCCACACAGCAGCUGCUGAAGCCGACCCCACCAGACCAUCCUGGCUUCUGGCUCCCAUUUGGCUGCAGGAUAAAGCCCAACCUCAUGUGCCUGGUGUUCCAGGCCCUCCAGCUCUGCCUCCUGUGUCUAGACUGCCCUUAAGAGGGGAGAAAGGGGGUGUCCCCAGGCAGGAGGCGGUGGCUCUAAGCCUUGUCCAGAGUGGGCGGGCCACCCAGACUGACUGAGCUGCCAGGUGGAGCAGUGUCCCAACCCUAGGUGUGCAUGUGUGAGGGGCACCUGCGAGUGCAGUGGGGGUGAGAGUGUGUGUCCAGUGAUGAUGGGCCACCCUGGGACCGUCCCACGUCCUGGAACCAGCUUUCCCUCCAACUGUCUCUUAACAAACUGACCACCUUCCAGCUCCCCCUCGGAGGACCUCAGCCGAAAUGGUGUGGCCUUGGUCAAAAUGGCCCCCGGGGCACAGAGCUGGGCCUCUGACCCGUGCGGGUGGAGUCUCAGGUCUGGCCUGACCUCUUGCCCCAAGACUGCUCCCCCU
rnacentral:lncRNA from 1 species